rnacentral:rRNA from 1 species
UACAGAGGGUGCAAGCGUUAAUCGGAAUUACUGGGCGUAAAGGGCUCGUAGGCGGCCAACUAAGUCAGACGUGAAAUCCCUCGGCUUAACCGGGGAACUGCGUCUGAUACUGGAUGGCUUGAAUCCGGGAGAGGGAUGCGGAAUUCCAGGUGUAGCGGUGAAAUGCGUAGAUAUCUGGAGGAACACCGGUGGCGAAGGCGGCAUCCUGGACCGGCAUUGACGCUGAGGCGCGAAAGCCAGGGGAGCAAACGGG